GGAGAGGUGGCUGAGUGGCCGAAAGCAGUUGCCUGCUAAGCAAUUGGUCCGGGUAACUGGACCCCUGGGUUCGAAUCCCAGCCUCUCCGCCA
rnacentral:tRNA from 1 species